rnacentral:rRNA from 1 species
UACAGAGGUCCCAAGCGUUGUUCGGAUUCACUGGGCGUAAAGGGUGCGUAGGCGGUCGGGUAAGUCUGAUGUGAAAUCUCACAGCUUAACUGUGAAACUGCAUUGGAUACUAUCCGGCUAGAGGAAUGGAGGGGAGACUGGAAUACUUGGUGUAGCAGUGAAAUGCGUAGAUAUCAAGUGGAACACCAGUGGCGAAGGCGAGUCUCUGGACAUUUCCUGACGCUGAGGCGCGAAAGCUAGGGGAGCAAACAGG